UACGAAGGGGGCUAGCGUUGCUCGGAAUCACUGGGCGUAAAGGGUGCGUAGGCGGGUUUUUAAGUCAGGGGUGAAAUCCUGGAGCUCAACUCCAGAACUGCCUUUGAUACUGAAAAUCUUGAGUCCGGGAGAGGUGAGUGGAACUGCGAGUGUAGAGGUGAAAUUCGUAGAUAUUCGCAAGAACACCAGUGGCGAAGGCGGCUCACUGGCCCGGUACUGACGCUGAGGCACGAAAGCUAGGGGAGCAAACAGG
rnacentral:rRNA from 1 species